rnacentral:rRNA from 1 species
UACGUAGGGUGCGAGCGUUGUCCGGAAUUAUUGGGCGUAAAGGGCUCGUAGGCGGUUUGUCACGUCGGGAGUGAAAACUCGGGGCUCAACCCCGAGCCUGCAGUGGAUACGGGCAGACUAGAGGUAGGUAGGGGAGAAUGGAAUUCCCGGUGUAGCGGUGAAAUGCGCAGAUAUCGGGAGGAACACCGGUGGCGAAGGCGGUUCUCUGGGCCUUACCUGACGCUGAGGAGCGAAAGCGUGGGGAGCGAACAGG